rnacentral:rRNA from 1 species
UACGGGGGGAGCAAGCGUUGUUCGGAUUUACUGGGCGUAAAGGGCGCGUAGGCGGCGUGACAAGUCACUUGUGAAAUCUCCGGGCUUAACUCGGAGCGGCCAAGUGAUACUGUCGUGCUAGAGUGCGGAAGGGGCUACUGGAAUUCUCGGUGUAGCGGUGAAAUGCGUAGAUAUCGAGAGGAACACCUGCGGCGAAGGCGGCGACCUGGGCCAAUACUGACGCUGAGGUGCGAAAGCGUGGGGAGCAAACAGG